AUGUACCACGCGUAAACUCCGGUUCUUCCGCGCCGUCCGCACCCACCUAACGACUGCUCGCUACGUUUUGUUAGCC
rnacentral:sRNA from 1 species